rnacentral:tRNA from 1 species
GCCUCGGUGGUGUAGUGGUUAGCACCUCAGCAUCAAGCAGAGAGGAAAGAGGGAAGCCUCCCGGGUUAAGAGACUCUGGCGACCAACUUUACAGUCCUGGUUUCGGCUGCUGAGAACCUGGGUUCGAUUUCCAGCCGGGGUA